rnacentral:rRNA from 1 species
UGCGUAGGCGGAUUAAUAAGUCAGUGGUGAAAACCUGCAGCUUAACUGUAGGCUUGCCAUUGAUACUGUUAGUCUUGAGUACGGUCAAGGUAGGCGGAAUGUGUAAUGUAGCGGUGAAAUGCUUAGAUAUUACACAGAACACCGAUUGCGAAGGCAGCUUACUGGACCAUUACUGACGCAGAGGCACGAAAGCGUGGGGAGCGAACAGGAUUAGAUACCCUGGUAGUC